UUGCUUUGGUAGCACAUAUAUUAAAAUUGGAACUAUGCAGAGAAAAUUAGCAUGGUCCCUGAACAAGGAUGAUAUGCAAAUUUGUGAAGUGUUCCAUAUUUUU